AUGCUCACUUCAGUAGCAGUACAUAUACAAAAACUGGAACGAUACAGAGAAGAUUAGCAUGGCCCCUGAGCAAGGAUGACACACAAAUUUGUGAAGCAGUCAUAUAAAAAUUUUU
rnacentral:snRNA from 1 species